rnacentral:lncRNA from 1 species
UUCAUUCUCCCAAAUUGUAGCCUCCCUCCCACGGUCCCACCUCACCUCCGAUCUACCGCCCGUCCCACCUGCGUCCACCUUCGAUCCAUCGCAGCCGCUCCACUUCUGUCCCACCCUUUUUGACCGACAACCCCAAUUGCAGCCACCACCACCGCUCGCAACCACUACAACCACUCGCAUCCACCACCGUCGUUCGUCACCACCACCAUGCAUUUCAACAUCUUGAAGUCGACCCAUUUGUACAAAUCCAACCUCCGGGAUAUGUAGUGCAACCUCAAG